rnacentral:misc_RNA from 1 species
CACAAUGUAAAUAUUCAUAUAAAUCAUAUAAACUAACAAUUCAUUACUCGAAUCAACUAGAUUAUAUCAGGAUGUCCUGGGAAGCCAUCACAGAGCAAAUGAUACAAUUUACCAAACCACUGAAAUUUCAUAACUUGGCGACGGGCAUGUGAUAUAAGGUAGCACGAGCAGUAUACACCAGCUUCCUGUUUUUCUUGAUUCUGAACUCAAUUGCAACUACAGUUAUGUUUCUGCCACUCCUCGCAACAGACCCAUCAACAACCACAACUUC